rnacentral:tRNA from 2 species
GCUGUAUUGGCAGAAUAGUGCGGUAAAUUUAGGAUUUAUUUAUGUGAAUUUUUUUACAUACAGUA